rnacentral:pre_miRNA from 1 species
AUCGUACUUCGUCCCAAAAAUUUUAUCUUAGAUUUGUUUAAAUAUGAAUGUAUCUAGUUAAGUUUUAGUAUUUAGAUACAUUCAUUUUUAGACAAAGCUAAGACAAGAAUUUUGAGACGGAGGGAUUACUAC